AUGGCCAACAACUUCACUUCUUCAGUUAACAAGCCCAUUACCGAGACCUCCUCGAGAUGCCUGACAGAGUCCAUCACCACCGCCCACAACUUUGAGGUGACUAGCUACUCGCUGCUCCAGGGUAUGGGUGCCGGCAAGUUCAUUAGCUCAAACACAUUCAAUGUCAGCGGCUACGGCUGGAACAUCAGAAUAUAUCCUGAUGGAUUGAAGGAGGGUACAGAUGCCUACAUGUCGGCCUUCUUGUGUUUCUGCAGUGGGACAACAGAUGCAAAGGUGAAGUUCACUUUUAGUUUAUUGGAGAAAGAUAGAAAAGUUAAUAAGCUAGAAAGCGCGACAAAUACCUUUACGCCAGUAGGUGGUACUUGGGGCUGGGAGAACUUUAUUGCGAACAACAAACUUAAGGAACUGCUAUCUUGCAAUGACGACUGCUUCACAAUCAGAUGUGUUUUGACGGUCUUCAAAGAGCCUCGCAUAGAAGAUAGCACAGUCAUAGUCCCAGUUCCGCAGUCGGAUCUGCACACACACUUUGCAAACAUGUUGAAGGAUGGAGAAGGCAUGGAUGUGACAUUCAGUGUCCGUGAUCAACUCUUCAAUGCACACAGAUGCGUGUUAGCUGCGCGAUCGUCUGUCUUCAAGGCCGAGCUCUUUGGUGAAAUGAAAGAGACCACCAUGAAACACGUCAAGAUUGAUGACAUGGAGCCUUCCAUCUUUGAGGCACUUCUUCACUUCAUAUACACGGAUACUCUGCCAAGCAACUGUGAGGUUGAUCAGAAUGUGGCAUUGCAGCACUUGUUGGUUGCCGCAGACCGGUAUGGACUGGACAGGGGCUAUUUGUGA
rnacentral:rRNA from 1 species